rnacentral:rRNA from 1 species
CCCUUAGAUGUUCUGGGCCGCACGCGCGCUACACUGAUGCAUUCAACGAGCCUAUCCUUGACCGACAGGUCCGGGUAAUCUUUGAAUCUGCAUCGUGACGGGGAUAGAUUAUUGCAAUUAUUAAUCUUCAACGAGGAAUGCCUGGUAGGCGCAAGUCAUCAGCUUGCGUCGAUUACGUCCCUGCCCUUUGUACACACCGCCCGUCGCUCCUACCGAUUGGGUGUGCUGGUGAAAUGUUCGGAUCGGCCGUUUGUCGCGGUUUCCGCGUCAUGUGGCUGAGAAGUUCAUUAAACCCUCCCACCUAGAGGAAGGAGAAGUCGUAACA